GCUUACGGCCACAACUCCCUCAGCACACCCGAUCUCGUCUGAUCUCAGAAGCUAAGCAGGGUCGGGCAUGGUUAGUACUUGCAUGGGAGAGCGCCUGGAAAUACCAGGUGUGCUGUAAGCC
ensembl:rRNA 5S_rRNA 5S ribosomal RNA